rfam:Gossypium hirsutum cultivar TM-1 chromosome 1, whole genome shotgun sequence
AUCCUAUUGUGAAGACAUUUUUGUAAUAAUUCCUUGAAUUAGUCCCAAGCCUCAUAAAGGUUCAUCAUCAAGUUUUUGGAAUGUAGUGAUCUCAUUUCAAAGCUU